CUCACUGGCCUGACCUCCCCACCCCCCACAGAGACUGGCGCUGGGGUGGGGUUCACGGCCAUGCGUGCUGCACUCCAUGAGCAUAGGCGGGGCCAACCUUCCCAACUGGACAGAGGUGCCUCAGGAUUCACAAAGGGAACUGGUCCUCACACUGCCACCUACCAGUUUCUGGAAACUCGACCAGUUCUAGCAAACAUGCCCCCCCCUCCACUGGACCCCAAGUGACGAGUGGCUCAGGGCUCCCUACCUCAGUGAAGACACCCUUGCCAUAGGGCACCAGGCUGUAUGGACCAGAGAGCAGUGGAGCGGUCUACGAAGCUAACCCUCCGGCCUCAGCCACCCAUUCCCAACCAUGGGUGCCCACUUCCUCUGCUGGAACGAUGUUGAGGAGGCACAUGUGGCCAGCUGGACCCGGCCUGGGUGCACAGUCCCAUCCUCAUUUACCUACUGAGCACCUCCCUCCCAAGUCCUGCCAAGCGCCUACUCACACAGACAGCAAGGGUGGCAGCGGCCUUCCGCGCUCGGCUAGAUGGGCUUCUGGAAACAUGUUACCCUGCCCCCUCUUUCCUCCCAGCUGUGGGGGCUCAGCCAGCUAGAACCCAGCUAGUGCAGCACCCAGGGCCCACUCGUGGUCGAAUGCUGCCCCUCCCGGAGGCCCCUCUCCCAGCUGAUGGCACCCUGUUUCCUGGACAAGCCUUACACUGCAUUGAAAAUAAUAAGAAGGAGGAGGGGAAGGCUGGGAGUCAGGCUGGAGGUGUCCGGGUGCGGGAGCGGGCACCCGGAGGGGCACAUCCGAACCUGGAAAAUAAAGAUGUGCUCGAGCAGCCUGGCUUUGUGAGAGCCGCAGCCGAGGGCCGACCCCGCGAAGCUGUGCUUUCACAGGCUUUUGAACAAUGACUUCCAGUUAAGUUCAUUAAACAUAAUUUAUUUCCA